GAGCGAUGAGUCUUGACGCGGGAAGAUGUACGUCCAGAGUCUCCACAAUUUGUUAAGAAUUCACCUGAAGGUAAAAGCUAAAUGUAUUUAGCGGCUGCUCUUAUAGCGCUGUCCGGGAUUAUGUAGUCGUGUCUGGGCCGAAGCGGACCGACGGCGGAGUGCGCCGUGGCUCUUUGCGCACCACGUGCCAUGGCGAACGGACUGUAAUGGAGGCGCACGAGGCUGAGCUGGUUCCUCCUGCAGGCUGCAGAAGAGGAGGUUUCCUCUGGGAGUCUGCAAAACCGAAGACUGUGUGGUCAGGAAACUCCUAGAGUCCCACCACAGACUGAUGGAGGAAGGACCGGACCAGUGGGAGCUGAGCCUGCAGCUGACGGUGUCCUAGACGUGGCCGACCAGACGCAGAGCGCUCUUUCUCGCUCAUCCACACACUAAUGGAAGCUGGUGUUUCAGUUCCACAUCUGUGCAGAGCUUUGGGAUUUCCAACCGGUCCAAGCUUUCCAGAUCGUCGGUAUCAAGACAUCCGAGUAACGAAAGGGUUGGAAGGAAGCAUCCUCACCACUGCCAUCAUGUGUUUGGCUUCUAGAAGAAAACUUGUCAGUAUGCAAAGAUGCCUGGUGCUUUUUACAUCAGCUAAGGUUAUGUUUUCAUUCAUGUUUAAGCAAACUACAGGCUCUGUUUUUGUUUAGACAGUUGGAGCAAAUGAAGACCAUACAUGUUGGUUUAGGUUUGGUUUGAAUCUGCUGAAGAAAUUGUACCUGUAGUCCUCCUGUGAAGUUUGCUGUAGUGGGUGUUUAUUAGUAUUCCGGUAUACGCUGGGCUCACCAACAUGAGUCUGUGAUGGUGAACCGACCCGAACAUCUGCAGAGUCGCACAUUUAUAGGGUGUGUCAGAGGGUGGGGGGGCUGCAUGUAAAUACAGAAGUGAAUCAUGGCUGGUUAACAUACAGUUACUAAUCAAAUGGCAGGAGGUAAAGGGACAAUGAACAACAGGGGAUGGAAUCAGGGGUCUGUGACCAUCAAAAUAAAAGAAAAUGACUUUCUUCAUCACAUCUCCGCAGGUCUGGGCUCUGAGUGUCUCUCUAACCCUUUGUGUCUGGUCUUGUUGGUUAAAAAACAAGUAAAAUACACAAAAUGUUGACCCCAAAAUGUUUUAAGGGUUUUAACUACUUGUAUGUGGAUGUAUCUGGACUUUUGUAAUAAAUUGCUGCCAACACAA